UUCAUCUUACACAAUUAUCUUUAUUUAUAUUUACUUACAAUGAACAUAUUAUAUAUAUAUAUAUAUAUAUAUAUAUUUUAGAGAUAGAUAGCACGUUACCCGCUUCGUUUAUUUCAUUUAGAAAUAAAUUUAACUAGAAAUAUGAAUCAACUAGGAUUCGAACUUGGGUCUCGGAUACCAACCACCAAGCCCUUUGCCACUUGCUCUAGGGACGGUCGGUAUGAACAUAUUAUAUUUAGUUGAUGAUAUAUAUAUAUGUUUUGGUUAUUAUAUUUUUAUAAGUAUAGAUCUCUUUUAUACUUAUAAGUUUUCGACCGUUAGAACGGUCUUUUUAAUUAUUUUCACUCGGAUUAUAUUAUUCAACUAACUACCAACUCAACCCUAAAAAACUAUUAGCAUUCUAAUCGGAAACCACUAUUAUUAGAAUUGCACAUUCCUUCAUUCAAUGGCCAAAAACUUUUUUUUGAGAGAUAGGUAGCACACUACCCACUUCAUUUAUUUCAUUUAGAAAUAAACUUAGCUGGAAAUGUGAAUCAGCUAGGAUUCGAACUUGGGUCUCGGGUACCAACCACCAAGCCCUUUGCCACUUGCUCUGAAAACGGUCGGUCAAUAGCCAAAAACUUAUGAGUACAAAGGAUUUAUACUUAUAAGAAUACAAUAGCCCUAUUACAUGUAUAUAUAUACACGCACAGAGUCUGACUAUUAUACGUAUUAUCGAUAGCAUAUCAAGUUUUCUGCUGUUAGAUCUACCCUUUGAUCAUUUUCACCUGUUAGAUUAUACUAUUCAACAAACAACCCACUCAACUCUAGGGGAUCACUAUCAUCCCAACCGUAUAUCCUUUCAUCCAACGCCCGAAAAUUCGAUAGUACAAAGUGAUUGGUACUAUCGAUAGUAUAGUAACAUAUAUAUAUAUAUA
rnacentral:lncRNA from 1 species